ACGUAAAUCGUUGAAGUGGAACCGGAGAGAGUUGACGUAGUAUGGUGGAUAAGUAUUGCAAGAAUCGCUUCAAACAAUGAAUGUGAUCGAGUAAUAUGUACGUCACCAAAGACUGCGCUGACAGCAUCGACUACACGCUCUGAACUGUGUUGACAUGUUGCCUAUUCUAGUAUAUAGAAUGGUGUCUUGUGUUACGUGGUGAAGUUUGUUGUUAUGUUGUUGAUGUUGAUAAGUAUGAUUAUACACCAAGUAUAAUUAUGUCAGUGUAAAAGUCAACCACCUCUCCGACCCGUCUUGAAACACGGACCGAGGAGUGUAACUUGUACGCGAGUCAUUGGGUGGAAAAACCUUAAGGCGAAACGAAAGUGAAGGCACGGUUAACCGGCUGACAUGGGAAACGUGCGGUAUUGUUAGCGAGACGUUACACCAUGGCCCUGUCUUGUCUGCAUGCAGAUGGGCAGCGGUAGAGCGUACAGGUUGCGACCCGAAAGAUGGUGAACUAUGCCUGAGCAGGACGAAGUCAGAGGAAACUCUGGUGGAAGUCCGUAUCGGUUCUGACGUGCAAAUCGAUCGAUAGACUUGGGUAUAGGGGC
rnacentral:rRNA from 1 species